GACGAACGCUGGCGGCGUGCUUAACACAUGCAAGUCGAACGGAAAGGCCCUGCUUUUGUGGGGUGCUCGAGUGGCGAACGGGUGAGUAACCCGUGAGUAACCUGCCCUUGACUUUGGGAUAACUUCAGGAAACUGGGGCUACUACCGGAUAGGAGCUCCUGCUGCCUGGUGGGGGUUGGAAAGUUUCGGCGGUUGGGGAUGGACUCGCGGCUUAUCAGCUUGUUGGUGGGGUAGUGGCUUACCAAGGCUUUGACGGGUAGCCGGCCGGAGAGGGUGACCGGCCACAUUGGGACUGAGAUACGGCCCAGACUCCUACGGGAGGCAGCAGUGGGGAAUAUUGCACAAUGGGCGGAAGCCUGAUGCAGCAACGCCGCGUGCGGGAUGACGGCCUUCGGGUUGUAAACCGCUUUCGCCUGUGACGAAGCGUGAGUGACGGUAAUGGGUAAAGAAGCACCGGCUAACUACGUG
rnacentral:rRNA from 1 species